AGACCAAGAAACCUCUUUUGCUUUGAUAUUUGAUUAAUCUCCAAAAAAAAAAAACUAGCCUCUCCAAAAACUAGCCUUUACAAUAACUCUUCUCCUUGAUUACUCUAAAAAAACCUCUCAAAAAUCCUUUACAAUAACUUUCUCCCCCAAAACUUCUUCCUCCCCUAAAUACAAAAUAUGAGAAGGCUUAUAUAGCCAUUUACCAAAUAUUUUUUAUUGUUUAUGUCUUCAUUUGUAGGUACAAGUGGUGGUGGAGCAAGUGUGGCUAAUGGAGUAGGUGGUGGAGCAAGUGUGGCUAGUGGAGUUGGUGGUGGAGCAAGUGUGGCUAGUGGAGUUGGUGGUGGCAAAGGCUGGGAUUUAGUUGAGAAAAGUUUAGGUUGUGGGCUAGGGUUUUUUAUUUUGAUUUGGGCUUAGGGUUUGGGCCAUUGGGGUUUUGAUGUAAAUUGGGCUUUGGGUAGUUAAGAUUUUGGGUUUUGGGUUUAAUUUUGGUGGGUUAGGUAAGGUUAAAUUGGGUUUUGAUGUAAAUGGGUUAAAAUUGGCCUACAAUAGCUGCCCCUCUUUGCUUAUUAUCGUGUAACGGGAAUAAAGCAAAGACACAAAGAAAGGCCAAUUUUACCCAGUCUUACUAAGUAUGGACUUCUUUGGUGCUCUUCUCAUCCAGGUAGUCUCUUUCCAAACCACUGUAUCUUGUUGUCUUGAUCAAAUCCUCUGCAUCUUUUGAUAUAUGCCUUGUAGCUUCGAUUUACUCCAAGGUGACUUCAAAAAGAUAAGAUCGGCAGCUUCAAUCUGCUCUUCCAUCGCUUUAGUCAGAUAAAAUUUGUGGUCUUCUCUUCUGCAACUUUUAGAAAGGUAAGAUCUGAUAUCAUCGAUCAGCUCCACUUCAACUUCAAUUAGCUUCACUGUAACUUCAGGGAUAUAAAAUCUGUGUCUUCGAUUAAUUCCAGUCUUUAUUCUUUACUCGGCAUGUGAUCCUGAGCUUAACUCAUUUCUCGCAAUAUGAAUUGACUCUUUAAAACUAAACAUUAAAAAUAGAAAUUGAAAAUAGCUCAGCACGUGAGCCAAGGCUCAACUCACUUCUCGCGAUAUGAGUUGAUUUUUAAAACAAAAUUUGUAAAAAAGAUUUUGAAAAUACCUCAGUAUGUGACCCGAGGCUCAACUCACCUCUCGUAAUAUGAGUUGAUUUUUGAAAAGCAUAAAUUGAAAAAAAAUAAAAAUAAAAAUCAAUUGAAAAUACCUCGGCGUGUGAUUUAAGGCUCAACUCACCUCUCGCAAUAUGAGUUGAUUUUUUUGACAAACAUAAAUUGAAAAAAAAAAGAAAUUGAAAAUAUCUCAGCGUGUUCUGAGGCUGAACUCACCUCUCGCAAUAUGAGUUGAUUUUUUGGAAAAACAAAAUUUGAAAAACAGAAUUUGAAAAUACCUCAGCGUGUGAGUCAAGGCUCAACUCACCACUCGCAAUAUGAGCUGAUUUUUUUGAAACACAGAAAUUGAAGAACAGAAAUGGAAAACACCUCAGCGUCUUGAGGUUCAACUCACCUCUCGCAAUAUGAGCUGAUUUUUUUUGAAAGACAGAAAUUGAAAAUACCUCAACGUGUCUUGAGGCUCAACUCACCUCUCGCAAUAUGAGUUGAUUUUUGACAAACAAAAAUUGAAAUUACCUCAGCGUCUUGAGGUUCAACUCACCUAUCGCAAUAUGAGUUGAUUUUUUUGAAAAACAGAAAUUGAAAAUACCUAAACGUGUCUUGAGGUUCAACUCACCUCUCGCAAUAUGAGCUGAUUUUUUUUAAAGACAGAAAUUGAAAAUACCUCAACGUGUCUUGAGGCUCAACUCACCUCUCGCAAUAUGAGUUGAUUUUUGACAAACAAAAAUUGAAAUUACCUCAGCGUGUCCUGAGGCUCAAUUCUCCUAUCGCAAUAUGAGUUGAUUUUUUUGAAAAACAGAAAUUGAAAAUACCUCAACGUGUCUUGAGGUUCAACUCACCUCUUGCAAUAUGAGUUGAGUUUUGACAAACAAAAAUUGAAAUUACCUCAGCGUGUCCUGAGGCUCAACUCACUUCUCGCAAUAUGAGUUGAUUUUUUUAGAAACAUAAAUUAAAAAAUGAAAAUUGAAAAUACCUUAGCAUGUCCUGAGGCUCAACUCACCUCUCGCAAUAUGAGUUGAUUUGAAAAGCAGAAUUUGUAACGCAAAAAUUGAAAAAUAGAAAUUGAAAAUACCUCAGCGUGCCCUGAGGCUCAACUCACCUCUCGCAAUAUGAGUUGAUUUUUGAAAAACAGAAAUUAAAAGCAGAAAUUGAAAAAAAAAUUAAAAAUACCUCGGCGUGCCCUAAGGCUCAGCUCACCUCUCGCAAUAUGAGUUGAUUUUUGAAAAGCAUAAAUUGAAAAAACAGAAAUUGAAAAUACCUCAGCGUGUGACCUGAGGCCCAACUCACCUCUCGCAAUAUGAGUUGAUUUUUUUGAAAGAUAGAAAUAAAAACAUCAAACUACCAAAAGAUGUCAUCUGGUGGAACUCAGGUGUCCUUUCCUUUGAUUCAGUACAGCUAUCAUCGAAAUCUCUUGUUCUGCUGAAAUACAUGUAUAUGUCAUGCAUGAUGUUAUCAUGAAAUGCACAUGUUUGCCUUAAAUGCCUUUAUGCCUACAUGAUCAUGCUAUGUGCCUUGGGCUUGCUUGUCAUAUGUCCCUUUCCGUCAUAAUUUUUGAUGAUCUGCGUUCAUUGCUUUGACUCUUGACUUUCUCUUCAGGCCCUGUACCCAUCCUCUAGCUUCACAACUAAUCUGCGUUUCUUAGAUAUCGCUCUUUUGCCCCUGGUUGAACUUUGUCCUUGCUUUGAGGCUCUUGUACUUAUCAAAUUCUUGUCCGGGUAAUGCUUAGCACUUCUUUUUUUUAGAGUAUGUCAUUUCACUAUUUAUCAUGUAAAUGAACCACAUAAUGAGAUGCAUGAAAAUGGUCAGGUAAGGACAAAAGGAUACCUCACAUUUAUUCAUUUCAAAUGUAGCAAACAAAGAAAGUUAAUCAAUGAUAGUAAAAAAAAGUAUCAUAAAGAGAAAGGGGAUCGCAUUUCAACAAAUACAAAUGCUCUAGAUAUUCAACGCAUGAACUCUUCCAUGUUCCUCAAUCAAGAAUCUUUUCGAGCAUGGCUUUCUUGCGUAAGAGAUUUCGAGUUUUCAGAAAUGCUUCAAAUACUGUAGUCUCUCUGUUUGACCCACCGUUCAAAACGCCUUGCUUUUUAAGCCAGUGCUUGCUUCAUUAGAACGCCCUUUAGGGUUUUCAUCCUAAUCUUUUGUGUUAAUCAAGACGCCCUUUUCGGGUUUUCACCUUGAUCCCUCUCUCUUUUUCUUUUUUCUUUUCUUUUCUCUUUUUUUUAAGAUGCCCUUUUUUGGGUUUUCAUCUUUAUUUUCCUUUUUUUAAGCAUAAUAUUUCUUCACAGCAUCUAAAUUCACUGGAUUCGGUAACUCCUUCCCAUCCAUCUCAGUGAGAAUCAAAGCUCCGCCCGAGAAUGCCUUCUUUACGACAUAUGGUCCUUCCCAAUUUGGUGCCCAUUUUCAUCGUAAGUCCUUCUGUAUUGGAAGAAUCUUUCUCAGCACGAGUUCUCCUUUGUAGAAUUCUCUUGGCCGUAUUUUCUUGUCAUGGGCCGCGAUCAUUCUCUUCUGGUACAUCUGUUAGUGACAAAUUGCCUUUAAACGUUUUUCUUCGAUGAGGUUUAACUGGUCAUAUCGAGCUCGAACCCAUUCUGCCUCCUCUAGUUUCGAAUCCAUUAAGACUCAUAAAGAGGGGAUCUCAACUUCAAUAGGUAGCAUAACUUCUAUUCCAUAGACCAGAGAGAAAGGAGUUGCCCCCGUAGAUGUCCGUACAGAUGUGCGAUAUGCAUACAAAGCAAAUGGUAGCUUCUCGUGCCAAUCUUUAUAUGUCUCAGUCAUUUUCCCAAUAAUCUUCUUAAUAUUCUUGUUGGCUGCUUCAACAGCUCCGUUCAUUUUCGGGUGAUAGGGUGAUGAGUUAUGAUGCUUUAUUUGAAACUGCUCACACACUUCCUUCAUCAUCUUGUUGUUCAGAUUCAAGGCGUUAUCUGAAAUGAUUCUCUCAGGCAAACCAUGUCGACAAAUGAUUUCCUUUUUCAAAAAUCUGCAAACUGCAGUCUUUGUCACAUUGGCAAACGAAGCAGCUUCUAUCCAUUUUGUGAAGUAAUCAAUAACCACAAAAAUGAACCGGUGUCCAUUAGAAGCUUUUGGGGAAAUUAGCCCUAUAACAUCCAUGCCCCACAUAGAAAAGGGCCACGGAGAAGUCAUGACAUGAAGGGGCGAAGGGGCUACAUGAAUCUUAUCGCCAUAAAUUUGACAUUUGUGGCAUUUUCUUGCAAAACUAAUGCAGUCGCUUUCCAUCGUCAGCCAGUAGUAACCGAGUCUCAUAAUCUUCCUGGCCAUAGUGAAACCAUUGGCAUGUGUCCCACAAAUUCCCUCGUGGACAUCUUCAAGUAUUUUUCUGGCUUCAACAGCAUCUACGCAUCUCAAGAGCACUUGAUCUUUUCCUCUUUUGUACAGGAUGUUCCCAUCAAGAACAAAUCCCACUGCCAUUCUUUUGACUGUUAGUUUGUCAUUCUCAUUUGCUUGUUCAGGAUACUUUUGGUUCUUGACAUAUUCUAAGAUAUCAUGGAACCAUGGUCGUCCAUCUGGCUCUUUUUCAAUGCUGAAACAAUGUGCAGGGACUUCAUAUAUGCUCAUUUGAAGAGGCAUUAUUUCUGUUUCUCUGUUUGCUUUGAACAUUGAAGCCAAAGUGGCCAGGGCAUCAUCCAAUUGGUUUUCUCCUCGUGAGAGGUAAUUAAAAGUUAUUUCUUCUAAUUCUUUAAUCAGCUCUGCCACUAGAUCACUGUAUUUGACCAGUUUUGAAUCUCUCACUUCCCAAUCUCCACGGAUUUGGUAUAUCACCAAGGCUGAGUCUCCGUAUACCUCUAAAGUUUUGAUGUUUCGUCCAAUUGUUGCACGAAGUCCCAUGAUAUAAGCCUCAUAUUCUGCUAUGUUAUUGGUACAGAAAAAGUUCAGCCUAGCAGUGAGUGGGUAAUGGUUUCCUUCUAGUGAUACUAAGACUGCUCCAAUCCCAUGCCCCAAUGCAUUCGAUGCACCAUCAAAGCUCAUCUUCCAUGACUUUUCUUUUGAUGACUCACAUUCUUUUUCUGUAAUGCACAUCAAGUCUUCAUCUGGGAAAUCAAAUCUCAAUGGCUCGUAUUCCUCCGUUGUUCGAGUUGCUAAGAAGUCAGCUAUUGCGCUCCCUUUUAUCGAAUUUUGGCUCACAUAGACGAUAUCAUAUUCUAAUAGUAAGAUCUGCCAUUGUGUCAUUCUUCCUGAGAGUGCAGGUGAUUCCAUCAUCUACUUUAUUGGGUCCAACUUUGAAAUUAGCCAUGUCGUAUGAUACAUCAUAUAUUGCCUGAGUCUUUGAGCUACCUAAACCAGAGCGCAACAGUAUUUUUCUAUGGAUGAAUACUUUGCCUCAUAUUCAGUGAACUUUUUGCUGAGGUAGUAGAUCGCCUUUUCUUUCUUUCCAGACUCGUCAUGUUGCCCCAGUACGCAACCCAUUGAAUUCUCGAACAUAGUCAAAUACAAUAUCAAUGGUCUUCCCGGCAUUGGUGGUACUAGCACUGGAGGACUAGACAAAUACUGUUUUAUCUUGUUAAAAUCCACUUGGCACUCCUUGUUCCAUUCUCCGGGAUUAUGUUUUCGAAGGAGUCGAAAGAUUGGGUCGCAUUGGUUGGUAAGUUGAGCGAUAAAUGGGGCGAUGUAGUUUAAUCUCCCUAAAAAUUCUCUGACUUCCUUUCGCAUGCGCGGAGGUGGUAACUCUUGAAUGGCUUUUAUUUUAUCUAGAUCAACUUCAAUGCCUCUCUCGCUGACAAUGAAGCCAAGCAAUUUUCCUGAGGUAGUCCAAAACGUACAUUUGGCCGAAUUGAGCUUUAGCUGAAACUUUCUCAAUCUGUCGAACAACUUCUUCAGGUUCACUACAUGCUCUUCUUUCCCUUAGGAUUUAGCAAUCAUAUCGUCGACAUAGACCUCUAUUUCUUUAUGCAUCAUGUCAUGGAAUAACGUCACCAUAGCCCUCUGAUAUGUUGCCCCAGCAUUCUUUAACCCAAAUGGCAUCACCUUGUAGCAAAAUAUUCCCCACAUUGUUACGAAGGUAGUUUUCUCCAUAUCCUCAGGGGCCAUCUUGAUCUGAUUAUACCCCGAGAAUCCAUCCAUGAAAGAAAACAAUGGAUGUUUUGCUGUGUUAUCCACCAACGUAUCAAUAUGUGGUAAGGGAAAUUUAUCUUUGGGACUUGCUUGAUUCAAGUCACGAUAAUCCAUGCACAUUCGUACUUUGCCGUCUUUCUUUGGUACCGGAACUAUGUUGGCCACCCACUCUGGAUAUUUGGAGGUUUGUAGGAAGCCAGCAUCAAAUUGCUUCUUGACUUCCUCUUUUAUUUUCAACGACAUCUCAGAUCUCAUCCGUCUUAGCUUUUGUUGAAUGGGUUUGCAUUCUGGCUUCAAUGGGAGCUUAUGGACCACUACAUCUUCAUCCAAUCCUGGCAUAUCCUGAAAUGACCAUGCGAAUACAUCUUUGUACUCACGGAGCAAAGCAAUCAAAUUAUGCCUGGUGCCCCCUGAAAUAGAGGUCCCAAUCUUCACUUCUUGCUUCCUUUCUUCAACUCCCAAGUUUAUUGUUUCAACAAAUUCUUGAUGAGGCAAAAUCUGUUUAUCCUCUUCUUCCACCAUUCUUAGCAAGUCAGGAGACGAGAAAUAGUCUUCAGCAUUUUAUUCAGCUUCGAAUUCUCCUAAACAAACAGCCUUCUCAAAAUCGAUGUCAGGACUCGUAACGGGUUUGUUCAUGCAAUUGAUAUCUGAGCACCUGAAAGUUGAAUGGAAAAGGAAACUAUAAAGGGGCAUCCAAGUAUUGAAACCAACAAACUGAAUGUUAUGGUAUGGCAUGAGGCAAAUGUAAAGAUAGGCUAUGAAAUGAUUAUGGAAUUAGUGAUAAUGCGAAAAAUCGUGACAAAAUGCAUCUUCAUUAAUAUUCAUUUAAAUGAUAAAGAGCAAAUGCAAGCUCUUACAAAAGAAUUCUAUUAUAUCUAAGGAUAUAACAUAAUGUUAACGUUUGAGCAUUACUCUGAAGACUUAUAAACUACAAGAAGAUCCUCAGCACUCCAAUUGUUAAACAUGAAACCCGAGGGACAAUGGCGUAUCUUUGAGAUGUCUUUAUUCGCGUCAGCUCCUUUGUCAAUGACAUUUAUACUGAUAUUCUGAAAACCCUCUUCGAUCAUUAACAUUGUGCUUUGUGCACUAUACUGCCCUGGGUAUAUCAUUCCCGCAGACGUAAAUGUUCUUGACAAAUGAGGGAAUUCCAUGGGCUCCCAUUCUGGUUCUCGGCCUAAUGUUCUCGUGAUCCUUCUUUCCUGAUCUUUCUUCCACUGCUUUCUUCUUUGACGCAUGUCCGGCUAGAACCCUAAACCGUAUCGAGCCUUGUGGUGUACUGGCUUUAGAGCCCUGACUAUUCCUUACAAAUAUCUCCCUAAACCUCUUCUCGCUCGAGCUCCCCUUCCUAUAGUCAACGUACACCCAUUCUGGUAUUUCUCGACAGUUUUGGCAUCGAAAUUAUAUUUCCCUCAGCGAAAAAAGUGGCAUUGACAAAUUCAAGGGAUCGGAAGGAACAUUCCACUGCGUCUUUGCUUACUUCAAGAUAUGGCGCAUCAGCAAAGAUAGAUGCGAUAAUGUCUUCUUCUCCCUCGACAGUGACCAAACAACCAUCCAUGAUGAACUUUACUUUUUGAUGGAGAGAGGAUGGAACUGCUUCAGCAGAAUGGAUCCAGGGCCUUCCCAGAAGGCAGUUAUACGAGGGUGUGAUGUCCAUGACUUGGAACUCGACAUUGUAAAUGUAAGGGCCCACUUCUAAAGGGAUAUCAAUCUUUCCCAUAACUUCACGUCUUGUCCCAUCGAAUGCCCUUACCAUGGAAUGACAGGGCCUUAAAUAGGACAGAUCUAUCGGAAUUUUGGAAAGCGUGGUCAAAGGCAUGACAUUGAGUGCUGAGCUAUUAUCGAUAAGCACAUUUGGUAUUAUGUAGCCCUUGCAACGCGUCGUAACAUGUAGUGCUUUCACGGAGCCUCUACCAUUGGGUGGUAUUUCGUCAUCACUAAAAGAAAUGAAAUUAUCCGCAUUCAAGUUGUUCACCCAUCUGUCUAGCUUCUCCACGGAUAUAUUGUUUUCCACGUAAGCUUGAUUCAACACCUUCAGCAAAGCGUUUCGGUGUGGCUCCGAAUUUAGCAGCAGAGAUAAAACCAAGAUUCGUGCUGGUUGCUUAUUCAAUUGUUCCACCACAUUGUAUUCACUGUGUUUGAUAAAUUUCAAUAACUCUUGUGCUUCCUCCUCAUCCACAGGCUUUUUAGUUUCUUGCACGGGUGGAAUUUCUUACUCGACUUCGGCCUCAUGCAUCACUGCUUUCCCUUUUUGCUUCCAGUCACUGUUCUUCUUCACUGGUUCGACCUCUUUCGAAUAACAUCUUCCACUUCUGGUAAAAUGACCUACCUCUCCAACAUCUCCAGUUAUGGCUUUGAGCUUUUCAUCUUUCGGUGUGACGAUAUUGAUGUCAUAUUUUCAUGGUACGGCUUUGUCGUCCUUGUACGGGAAAGGAGACGGUACUUCGAUUAUCAUUUUUGGUUUCACUGGCUCUUUCGUCGCGUCGUAAUAAAUUAUUAACUGUCGAUCCGCGCUAUAAGGGAGACCUGAUGACUGGUUGUUAGUGGUGCAUACUUCUCUUUCAUUGGUCUCUUCCCUCUUGUUAAGGACCUUAAUCUCCUUAUUAUCCAUCCGGUCUUGAAGCAACCUUUUAAAUUCCUCACACGAUUGAAUGUCGUGUCCUACAAUUCCAUGGAAAUUGUAAAAACUUUGACCUUCUUCUCCGAGAAUUCUAUCGGGGUGACAAAGCAAUCAUUUCUUAACCAGUACCUUCCAAAUUUUCUGCAGAGGCGUCCUUAUUUCUGAAACACACCUUCUAACUUUCCAUUCGUCCUCUUUCCCCACUGUGCUCACAUUCCCUUCAGCAUGGUUAGGGAACGGGUUCCCAGUUGCGUUACUGGCACUAUCAAACUGUAGGAUACCCGCGUCAAUGAGUCCUUGAACUCUCCUCUUAAAGGCUAGGAAAUUCUCCGUGGAAUGCCCCUGGUUCCCCGCGUGGUAUGUACAACUAUCGUUUGAAUCGUACCACUUUGGGUAUGGAGGUUUAAGGGGUGUCAUGUAAUGGAGAGAAAUCAGCUAUUUCUCCAGAAGUUUUGGGUACAAUUCCCCAUACGACACAGGGAUAGGAGUAAAUUGCGGUCCCUCGGGAUUAGGCCUUGCUGGUCUUGGUUCGUUUCUGGGCUGGCUUUGAGCGGGUACCGUGUUUUGUGGGAAUGUGGUGCUGAGUCUUUGGUUGUUUGUGGCAUAUACGGGGUACGAAGGAGGUGGUGCUUGGUAGUAAGGGGUUUAAGGGGGAUAAUAGAAAUUUGGAGGUCGAUAAAUUCGAGGUCGGGGUUGGUUUGGAUAUGGAUUAGGGGCAUAACGACUUCCCAUUCCCACCAUGUGGGUUUUUGGUUCUUUCUUCUUCAUGGGUGCUACCCUUCUUGAACUUUCUUGACCUUCCAUUCAACUGCUCUUGACGGCGUUCUCUAUAAGCUCACUGGAUAUUACAAUAUCCACGAAGUCCUUCGUGGCGCUUCCCACUAGUUUGUCAUAAAACGGCAUCUUUAAGGUGUUGAUAAAAAGGACAGUUAUCUCCGUUUUCGUUAGUGAGGGUUCCGCUUGGGCUGAGACGUCCCUCCAUCUCUGCGCGUACUGCCUAAAAGUUUCUGAUGGCUUUUUCUCCAUCAUUUUUAAAGUUAUCCGACCAAGCACCAUAUCUGAUACAUGCUUGUACUACUCACAGAAUGCCGACGCCAAGUCUUUUCAAGAUUAGAUCCUUUCCUUACUGAGUUGGUUGUACCACUAAAGAGCCGAUUCUAUUAGACUGUCUUGAAAACAAUGUACAAGUAGCUUAUCUUCGUUCACGCAACCGGUCAUUUUUUGGCAAAACAUGAAAAGAUGUGCUUUUAGACAACUUGUCCUAUCGUACUUUUCGAAAUCAGGCACCUUGAACUUCGGAGGCAGGAUUAGGUCAGGUACCAAACUGAGUUCUUUAGCACCUAGUACCAAGAAGACUUCAGUGCCUUCUAUUGCCUUGAGUCUUUCUUCCAAAUUCCUAUAGUUCUCUUGAGCCUCGUGAUCAUCUAUUUUCAACUUGGCUAUUUCGACUGGAUCAUCUAAAUCUGAAACUACAGGAUUGGCAGGGGUUGCUCCGGGAUUUGACAUAAAUGUUCCUUGCCCUAGAUGAGCAAAUGGCAUAGGUCGUUGUUCCAAGCCUGUGGAUUCCCCUUGAGUAUAACCUCUUUGUGCUACGUGGGCAUGUGGUGGAGUGAAUCCUGGGGGAUAGAGUGGAUCCUGGUCAUGAUUAAUUCUUGAUUGAGGUUCCAUACUGUCGGGGUUCUGCACGGGUCAUUUUCCUUUGACUAAAACUGAUAUCAUCCCAUCAUUCUAGCCAUUUGAUCCUUUUGUUCAAGUGAUUCCUCUCGAGAUCUUACUAUCAAAUCCCUCGUUUCUUGCUGUGACUUAGCUAGUUGUUCUUGUAAUUCCUUCUGGACUCUUUCCAUCCUUUCGAUUCUUUCAUUGAACUCAGCCUCUAUUGCUCUAGCUUGUCGACGCGUUUUAUACGAAUGUCGUGGUUCCAGAUUUGAAGUGUUGCAACUGUGAAUUAUAUGAUUCUAACCUUAGCGAAUGAUUAUGGGAUAUGUAUAUGCAAUGAAUUGAUGAAUGGAUGCAAAAAGAGGCGUUGAUUCCAAUUUAAUUUCAUUAGAAGAACUUCACUAGAAGAAAAAAUUCUUUACAUAGAACGGAUGAUUACAUAUACAACUUCGCCCUAAUGCCCAAAGUCUUAACUUUCUUAAGAAGCCAAGCUAAGCUUCGGCCUCGGUCUGAUUCUGACUCGUACUUUAAGCUCAAUAUAUCAGCCUGAACUGCCAAGGUUUGCAAGUGAUCAGCUAUCUCCCGAACCUGAACUAUAGCUUCGCCCAUGACAUAGUCUCUAUCUCUAAUCUGGUUUUGAGAGUGGUGAAGCUGUUCUCUGUAAUGGUCGUUGUUUGUCUCAAGAAGUUCCACUCGAAUUUUGCUAUCUCGCAGUACGGUCUCGAGUUCUUCUAUUUUCCCUUUCAACUCUUCGAUCCUGCUCAGACUAGCCUUUAGCUUAAUUAUCGAAUUAUGGCUACGAUGUUGCUGAAGUAAUCUUUCCAAUUCAGCCACCCGAGCUCGUAACUUCUCCUUUUCGUUUUGGGUUUCUAACAAACUCUUCUUCAGAGUGUCCUCUCGUACUCAGACAUCUUGAAAUAUUUUCUCCCAAUGGUCGGCUCUAGUCUUUUCCUCUUUAAUCUCUUGACGCCAUUACUCCUACAUUUUACCUAAUCCGGCAGUUUUUAUUGUUAUACGAAGCUUCUUGUAAUCGGUUUUCAGACUAUCUAAAUCUUCCUCAGCCUUGUUCUUUCCUUUCCUUAACUUCUCAGCCUCUAGCUUGUGGAUAUCGACAUCUAACCCCAACUUUAUUUUAUCUUCUUCUAGCUGCUCUAUCUUCUUCCCCAACUCCGAGUUUCUUUUCUCAAAAUCUUGCUUAAUGAUCUCUAACUCGGAUGGGAUGACCCGUAAAUGCUCCUCUAUCGGUUGUGUGUUCCCUUGAUUCUGCCUAGGGAUGUUGUCGUUGACUCUCCUACCCCACCACCAUUCAUACUCGGGGGUCGUCAUCGGGCUUGCAGUGAAUCCUUUCAUUCUUCGAGUUUGGUUCCAUGCAUCUGAUAUCUCGCGAACCCUCUUUUUAUAAUUGUUGUCUUUAUAGGGAAACUCACAUUGUGCCAACCCUUGUGUCACCGGUAUAAACUGCCUUGAUCGAUACUGCCUUAACACCAUCAGUAGAGCGUAACCAAUGGCUCCCUAUAUUCUAGCCAGAGGGACCCAGUCAAAAUCACCGCACCUAUAUAAGAUCUCGUCAGGAAUCAACCACGGAGCCCUCCAUUCAACGUCUUCAGUCCGUAAAUUUUAGAGAAUAGUUAUCCACCUCCCUUCGGAGAGUCGUCCCGCCUCGAUGUGGCCACUAAUUCUCUUAAUGGGGAAUAAUCCUUAGAGAAUACCCGAUAGGAGACCUUCUCCACCUUCCAAAAAUGACUGUGGAAACAAGCCAAAAGAAGUUGUGCACAACCAAUAAAUCUUCCCUCGCCCGCUCUCCGGCAUGUAUUCAAGGAUCGGAAAGUUUCUGCUAGGAUUGCCGGGACAGGUGUGGUACCUUUAUCAAGUCGAUCAAAUAAAUCUGAGAUGGCUUCAUCUAUGUGUCCAAGUGCUUUAGGAAAGACGAUCAAAUCGUAGAGACUUAAGGUAAAAACAUCAACCCUUUUCUUCGAAUCCGGGUGCGCAAGAAUAAAAUCCCUCAAAUUCCUCCAAGGAAUACAUUUACUAUCCCCUUUUUGCUUGAUGCGGGCUGCAACCCAUUGUUCGCUCAUCCCCGUGAUAUUCAUCAAUUUCUUCAAAAAGGGAGGGACAUUAACAGGUCUUGAAUAGGCCCUAUCGGCCUGAAUCUUCGGGCAAUUAAGUAACGCCAUGUAUUCCUCCACCGUAGGUACUAAAUCAACUCCUCCGAAAGUGAAGCAACUGUAAGCAGGUCGUUCUGAGUCACACUGAUGUGAGUGAAAUCCCACAACUCCGAUUCAUAUCCCUCGGUCAAACUAUCUCCUUUCUCCUGUUGCGUUCUCUCAAACCACACUCGGACGGCCGCAUUAUCCUCCAUUCUAUCAAGAAAUCCUUUUUCCAUGCUAAACUCUUCUAAUUAGUAACCGAACGUAAAUCAACACCCUUUUAUGAUGAAAUGUCAUGCGAAAAUGAUCAAAAUACAACAAGUUAGUACUAUAUACAAAGAAUAGAAUUCAAAGCAAAUAGUGAGUAAAUAAGCACCUAAUCAGGUAACCACUAGGGUUUGGUGUGGUUCUACCUAGGGUAGGCUCCUAAGGCUCAUUACAUGUCGUUUGGUUCUAAAGUAAAGGUACCUGAACCAGCAGAUUCCUCGAUUCUCACCCAUUAUAGGUUCAUACAGACCGAGUUCAAUUCAGGGGAAUACAUUUCCCUAGUGCUAUACGGAGGUGAAAACCUCACGAAGACGCAGGUACGGAUGUAUCCCGAAAGCGAUCCACUAUCCUAUACGGAGGUGAAGACCUCACGAAGGAGUAGUUUUUCACUUCCACUUAUGAGGGUGAAAUUAACCAAUAAUGCGAUGCGAUAUGCAAAGAUACUUCAAAGAAUUAAACCACUUAAAGCAAGCAUAUUAUGAAGAGAGUCGUGAAAAUAACAAACAACAUGCAAUGUAGUAAAUUUAAAAUCGAUUUUCGAUUUUUGACAAAAGACAAAAAAUAAUCAAUUUAAGGCUCGACUCUCGAGGUCCCCAGCGGAGUCGCCAAGCUGUCAAAACCAUUCUUUUGAAAACGGGGAUCGACUUUGUUUGAAAGUGAAAAUUAAAACAGGAGUCGCCACCAAUCUUUUAUCAGGUGUGAUCGGAUCACCUUUGUUUUAAUAAAUCAAUUUUAGUUUACUAAAACAAGGCCUUUGGUCUACGAAACUUGAGAGAAUGAGUUCGGGAGUCGGUUACGUGCGAGGAAGGAUUAGCACCCUCGACACGCCCAAAAAAUUGGUACUGAAUUGAUUAGUUAGUGUCUUAAUGUCGAAAAUUAAAAAUCGGGAAGGGACUUGAAAUACGAUCUUUUCUAUUAAUACUGAUUUUAAAAUUCUUGAAUUAGCUUAAAUCGAUUUGUUUAAAGAUUUCCUUAUCUAAAGAUAUCAGAGUAUCACAUCCCGUAAGUUAGGACACAAUACCAUGAAUUCCUGAGCACAAGGUCGUCUUUUAAUUUAAAUUGGAAAUCCGUGCAUUUCAAAACUCAAAAGGAUAUUUAGCUGUUUAGAACCAACAAGAGAACAGAAACCCUGUAAGUUAAGGUACAAUUCUUCGAUGUUCCAAAAUGCGAAACAUUGCCUUAUUUAUUGAAAUUAGUAAAAACAUGAAUAAAAAUCUUUAAAGUAAUGAACAACAGAAUGAUAUAAAAUAGGCGGGAGACAAAAAUAAACGAGUUGGAAAUACAUUGAAACAAAUAAUAAAUAUGACAAUAAUAUUAAAACAAUAACAAUGCAUGCGAUAUAUUAAACGUAAUAAUAGUAUCCAAUGUGAAAUAAAAACAACGAAUAUAUACAUAAUAAAGAUAUUAAGAGUAUGUACGUAAAAUAUAUAUAUUUAUAAAUAGUAAUAGUGUUAGAAAUAUACUAUAUAUAGUGUUUGAAGUAUAUACAUAAAAUAGUGAAAAUAUAACUAGUAAUGUUAAGAUAUAUAUAAUAUAUACAUAUGUAUGAAAUAGAUAUAAAAAAAAUAUCUACAUAAUAUAGUGUAAAAAAUACAUACAUAAUAUAAUUAAAAUAUAUACAUAAGAUAACAUGUAGAAAAAAAAUAUAUAAAUAAUAUAGUAUUAAAGAUAUAUACAUAAAAUAGUAUAAUAUAUAUAUGUAAUAUAGAAUUUAGAAUAUACCUAAUAUAUUAAAAGAAUAUAUAUAAUAUAAUAUUAAAAAAUAUAAUAAUAACAAAAAAAAGAGAGGGAGAGAGUGGGUGAUUUCCGUCCAUAAGGCCGGCACCGUCCGGUCACCGGACCGCCGCCGGCCACCGUCGGUGCCACCGUACACGGCAGUCAGACCUCAAAAAAAAUUUCGGUAAAAAUGGGAAAGCUUCCUCCUUUUAUUUUUACUUUCAUAUAAAAUAAACAAAAUAAAACUGAAAGGAAAACAAUAAGCAAACAAAGAACUUAAAACGAGAAUAGACCAAGAAACCUCUUUUACUUUGAUAUGUGAUUAAUCUCCAAAAAAAAACUAGCCUCUCCAAAAACUAGCCUUUACAAUAACUCUUCUCCUUGAUUACUCUCAAAAAACCUCUCAAAAAUCCUUUACAAUAACUUUCUCCCCCAUAACUUCUUCCUCCCCUAAAUACAAAAUAUGAGAAGACUUAUAUAGCCAUUUACCAAAUAUUUUUUAUUGUUUAUGUCUUCAUUUGUAGGUACAAGUGGUGGUGGAGCAAGUGUGGCUAAUGGAGUAGGUGGUGGAGCAAGUGUGGCUAGUGGAGUAGGUGGUGGAGCAAGUGUGGCUAGUGGAGUUGCUGGUGGCAAA
rnacentral:lncRNA from 1 species